rnacentral:rRNA from 1 species
UCAGACGAUGCGUCAUGUAUAUCAAUAAGCGGAGGAAAAGAAACUAACAAGGAUUCCCUUAGUAACGGCGAGUGAAGCGGGAAGAGCUCAAAUUUGAAAUCUUCAAGGUUUUACCUUGACGAAUUGUAGUUUAAAGAAGUGUUUUCUGUUGAAGUUUUGGUAAAAGUUCUUUGGAAUAGGACAUCAUAGAGGGUGAGAAUCCCGUAUUUGACCAUUAUUUUCAGCUGUGUGAUACACUUUCAAAGAGUCGGAUUGUUUGGGAAUGCAGUCCAAAAUGGGUGGUAAAUUUCAUCUAAAGCUAAAUAUUGGCGAGAGACCGAUAGCGAACAAGUACCGUGAGGGAAAGAUGAAAAGAACUUUGAAAAGAGAGUUAAACAGUACGUGAAAUUGUCAAAAGGGAAGCGUUUGACACCAGUGUUGUUUCUCUCGAAAAUCAAUUAAAAAGAGUUAGAUUUUGUUGUGUAUUGACCUUAACAGCUUGCAUUUCAAUUUUCUUGCUUUUUUUAAUGCACUUUUCGUUUAACAAGUCAACAUCAGUUUCUUUUGUUGUAAAAAGGUCAUUGGAAGGUGGCUUUCUUUUCGGAGAAAGUGUUUAUAGCCUUUGCCUCUGCAAUCGGAAGAGACUGAGGUCUGCAGCGUAGACUCUUCGGGGUUAGAUACAUUUGUGCUAAGUUAUAGCUUUUUAUAGACAACUUGUUGACUAUGAUUAGUCUUGUAGCUUACUCGCUUAUGCUAUUUUACCUACGCUUAGGAUGUUGAGUCGUAGAGCACGCAG